AAUGAACUUAUUACUUUUCAUGUUAUAUAUUUCUUUGAUUAUUCAGAUCUUGAUCUGAGGUGUGUUUGGGGAAUUAGAAUGAACUUUAAAAAUUAUGCACAAAUUAUUUGUUUUCUAAAACUUCUUACUAUAUAUCAUGAUAAUUUAUAAGGUUUAACAUUCUGUAAUUUCAUAGUGUAAGGGACUGGGUGUUGGUGAUAUGCAGUUCUUAAUUUUGAAUAUAAUGAGACAAUAUUCAAAAUGUAUGUUAUCUGUUGGUUGUUUUUGACGUUAUGAUUUUCUGUCGCCUGAUUUCUUGUAAUUAGUCUCACCAUAUGAGGUCAUUGCAUACAGAGAUUUGCAACAUUUUCCAUUGCAACGAAUAUGUUAAUACAGAACUGUACAAAAGAGAGGUACACAGGAGGGGGCAGGGAUUUCCCAGAAGCUGUGCUAAUAUGUGGGUCCAGUUUGUGGGGCUUUAUAGGUGGACAUCCAGGGCUGUGUUUGUGUUGCUUUCUCAUUGUGUGUGAUUUUAUUUCCACCAUUAACUGUUGACUUGUAUAAUCUCACCACCCUUAGAAAUCAGUGUUACUGGUAGAAAUGGUUUAGUCUAUGCACCAUCUCUUUGAAUCAAAGCACCCAACUGACUCUGAUGUAGAGAAAUUUACAUCUGGAAUAUUUACCAUCUGUAUUUAAUCCUACUAAUGAGAUGCACAGAAUUGAGAUCUAUAAUUAGUCUUUUGUUAAAUAACAACUGCACAAGUUUAACAUUGUUUGGACGAAUGAAGUUUGCAUGAUUUCAAAUAAUAUCAUAUAUGAAAUCUACCAUGGAAUUUUGGCUCAUACUUGCAUUCAUUUACAGCAAUAUAUUCACCAUUGUCAUGUAAUAAACAUAUGUGUGACACUGCGCUUUACUAACAACUUACAAGCUGCUUGCAUGGCUUUCUAGAUUUUUCAUGUUUCACUUUCCUCUUAACUUUCACUGCACACAUAAUACCUGCAUGUUUCUUAGUUUGAAGGCACAGAAGGUAGUAUUUAAUUUAGAAAUAACAGUUUUCCUGAUGAAUACCUUUUAGAUUUAGAAAGUUUUUCAAUUGCUUUUGGUGAUGGUAAAGUGCACUUGUUUAACUAAUCCAUUGUUGGUUUUUUUCUUAAAUUUGAAUAACAUUUAAUUUUAAGAAGAUAGUGUGUAAUUAUAGAUUUCAAUUAGAUAACUCGGCCAUGGAUGUUUACACCAAAAAAAUGCAUGCAUCAAGAUAGUUUUCUUGCUAAAGGUCAAAGUGAAAGAAAAAAAAAUGAAAAAUUGUGGAUGAAUAGAAGUCUUUCAGGUGUAAGUUCAAAGACCCUUGCAUCAAAGUACUGAAAGCAUGUCAGAUUAUUGCUGGCUUGAAUUUAGCGCUACAACUCUGGGUUCCAUUCUCACUUCCUGUGCACCUUUCUUUAUUUUAUCACUAUGUUGCUGUAAAUGGUUGUGAUGUACAAUAAUGUAAAAAGAAGAUGAACACUAUGAAAUAAACAAUGUUUAUGUUUAUAUAUUCUAACAUGACAAUAAAGAUACCUGUACC
rnacentral:sRNA from 1 species